GCCUGGCUGGCUCAGUGGUUGAGCGUCUGCCUUCAGCCCAGGGCGUGAUCCUGGAGACCUGGGAUCGAGUCCCACAUCAGGCU
rnacentral:tRNA from 1 species